rnacentral:lncRNA from 1 species
GCAGUGACAGGACCAUCCUUUCUGCCGAAGCUUCUGCUCACUGCUCCAAGUUCCGCCAUUAAGUAAGUAUUGUUCCAAAGCCCU